UAUUAAGGUCCCCCGCACUCUCACCACCAGCACUCUUGCCUUUCCCGGUCCCCGCCAUGUCGAACAAGACCUCGCUGCCCGAGGGCCUCCGCCCAGGCACGGUGCUCAGACUUCGAGGUUUCGUCCCUGACAAGGCUGGCAGGUUCCACGUAAACCUGCUGUGCAGCGAGGAGCAGGGCGCAGACGCAGCCCUGCAUUUCAACCCCCGGCUGGACGAGUCCGCGGUGGUCUUCAACAGCCUGGA